CUUUUUAGGGCCAAACCUGUGGCUUAUGGAGGUUCCCAGGCUAGGGGUCUAAUUGAAGCUGUGGCCACCAGCCUAUGCCACAGUCAUAGCAAUGUGGGAUCCGAGCCAAGUCUGCAACCUACACCACAGCUCACGGCAAUGCCAGAUCCUUAACCCACUGAGCGGGGCCAGGGAUCGAACCCACAGCCUCAUGGUUCCUAGUCAGAGUCGUUUCUGCUGUGCCACAUGGGAACUCCAAUUUUUGAUGCUGUUUUAUUAAUUUCCUUCUUAGAUUUUUUUUUUUUUGGCCAGUGUAUAGAAAUCAGCUGACAUUUGUGUUGAUCUUAUAUCCUGCAACAUUAAUGAAUUUAUUAGCUCUAAUAGUUUGUGUAUGUGGAUUCUUUAGGAUUUUUAAUAUACAGGAUCAUGUUAGCUGCAAAUGAAGAGAGUCUUAUGUCUUCAUUUCUAAUUGGUGGGGGUGAGCAUUUUCCUGAUCUUAGAGGGAAAUUUUCAAUCUUUCAUCAUAUUGUUGCUGUGGGUUUUUCAUGCUUUUUAAACAGGUUGAGGAAAUUCCAUUCUCUUCCUAGUUUGCUGAGUGCUUUACCAUGAAAGGGUAUUGAUUUUUGUAUAUGCUUUUUCUUAUCAAGACGAUCGCGUUGUUUAUCUUCCCCUUCAUUCCAUUUUUUUUUAAACAGCAAAGAAUUCUAUUUUCAUGUCACUGUUCUAGUUUCUUCAGGCUGAGCGCUCUACAUUUUAUUAUCACAUUGAUUUUUGUAUAUUGAACCAUCCCCAUAUUCCUGCAAUAAAUCUUAGUCUGUCAUGGUAUAUAACAUAUCUUUGGCUUAGGUAUCAAGGUAACACUAACUCUAUAGAAGGAAUUAGGAAGUGUUACCUCCUCUUCUAUUUCUCAGAAGAGUUAUAGGAAUUGGUGGCAAUUCUUCCAAACUGCCAAAUUUGAAUUCUAUCAAGUUCUGGGUUUGUACUUUGUUUUUUUGUUUUGUUUUGUUUUUUGUUUUUUUUUGUCUUUUUGCCUUUUCUAGCGCCACUCCUGUGGCAUAUGGAGGGUCCCAGGCUAGGGGUCUAAUCGGAGCCGUAGCCAUUAGCCUACGCCGGAGCCACAGCGACGCGGGAACCGAGCCACGUCUGCAACCUACACCAUAGCUCACGGCAACGCCGGAUCCUUAACCCACUGAGCAAGGCCAGGGAUCGAGGCUGCAACCUCAUGGUUCCUAGUUGGAUUCGUUAACUACUGUGCCACGACGGGAACUCCUGGGUUUGUGCUUUCUUUGUUGAGAGGUUUUUGAUUAUUGAUUCAAUCUCUUUAUUUGUUAUAGAUCUAUUUAGAUUUUUUAUUUCCUCUCGAGUCAGUUUUGGUAAUUUGAGUAUUUCUAGGAAUUUGUCCAUUUCAUCUAGGUUACCUUUUUUGUUGGCAAUAAAGUUUUUUCUUUUGUGUGUUGUUGUCUUUUAGGGCCUCACCUAGAUCUGAGCCACACCUGUGACCCACAGCCCACAGCAAUGCUGGAUCCUUAAUCCACUGUGUCAGCCGAGGGAUUGAACCAUCCAUCCUCAUGGAUGCUAGCUGGAUUCAUUUCUACUGAGCCAUGAUGGGAACUCCAGCAAAGUUUAUUUAUUUAUUUUGGUCUUUUUGCUAUUUCUUGGGCCGCUCCCGCGGCAUAUAGAGAAGUUCUGGGCCAGGGAUCAAAUCCUUGCGACAACAUUAACUGGAUCCACAGUAGUGACAAUGCCAGAUCCUUAACUCGCUGAGCCAGCAGGGAA
rnacentral:lncRNA from 1 species